GCCAACGGCCAUACCACGUUGAAUACACCAGUUCUCGUCCGAUCACUGAAGUUAAGCAACGUCGGGCGUAGUUAGUACUUGGAUGGGUGACCGCUUGGGAACACUACGUGCCGUUGGCUUAU
rnacentral:rRNA from 1 species